GCAUCCUUAGCUCAGUUGGUAGAGCAUCUGACUCUUAAUCAGCAGGUCGCGGGUUCGAAUCCCGCAGGGUGUACCA
rnacentral:tRNA from 1 species